rnacentral:misc_RNA from 1 species
GAUGAAGAACGCAGCGAAAUGCGAUAAGUAAUGUGAAUUGCAGAAUUCAGUGAAUCAUCGAAUCUUUGAACGCACAUUGCGCCCGCCAGUAUUCUGGCGGGCAUGCCUGUUCGAGCGCCAUUACAACCCUCAGGCCCCCGGGCCUGGCGUUGGGGAUCGGCGGAAGCCCCCUGUGGGCACACGCCGUCCCUCAAAUACAGUGGCGGUCCCGCCGCAGCUUCCAUUGCGUAGUAGCUAACACCUCGCAACUGGAGAGCGGCGCGGCCAUGCCGUAAAACACCCAACUUCUGAAUGUUGACCUCGAAUCAGGUAGGAAUACCCGCUGAACUUAAGCAUAUCAAUAAGCGGAGGA